GACGAACGCUGGCGGCGUGGAUUAGGCAUGCAAGUCGAACGGUAGGAUACCUUCGGGUAUCUGAGAGUGGCGAACGGGUGAGUAACACGUAGGUGAUCUACCCUCAAGAUUGGGACAACCCAGGGAAACUUGGGCUAAUACCGGAUGAAAGCAGCAGUGAUGUUGUUUGAAAGGUGGCGUAAGCUGCCGUUUGGGGAUGAGCCUGCGCUCUAUUAGUUAGUUGGCGGGGUAAAGGCCCACCAAGGCGAUGAUAGAUAGGCGGCCUUAACGGGUGGUCGCCCACACUGGGAUUGAGAUACGGCCCAGACUCCUACGGGAGGCAGCAGUCGAGAAUAGUCUACAAUGGCCGAAAGGCUGAUAGUGCGACGCCGCGUGAACGAAGAAGCCCUUCGGGUGUAAAGUUCUUUUAUAUGUGAGCAGUGCUUUCUAUGUGACAGCAUGGGGAGAGAGAUAUUAGCAUAUGAAUAAGCAACGGCUAACUCCGUGCCAGC
rnacentral:rRNA from 1 species